rnacentral:lncRNA from 1 species
UUUCAAUAGCUGUUAAUAGUUGAUGGCUGUUUACCUUGUCUGUAUUAUCAACGUUCCACUGUACAGCGUGUGUUGGGCGCAGCUUUUUGGAUCGUAGAUAACUGCGUGCCGAGGCAAAGGUGUCUUUGUAACGGCUAACCCGUCAAACGCCGAUUAAUUGGAGGGAGUCACAUUGAAUGGAAAUACUCGAGCAUUUCGCCAUUCGCAUUGUCGUGAGGUAUCGGUAUCUUUGGAAUCUGGCAGUUGCAUGAACAUUUCUCCGGUUUCACCUCUCCCAUUUAACGUGAAGCAGACACCGGCGUACUCGUCUUGGACCGCUAAGUAACAGUACCUCAUUAUUAUCGAGCGGGACGGUGUGUCAUGGAAGAGUGGGGUGCAGUAAUUAAUCCAGACGGAGAGUAAAAAAACGACCGUUUUCAUAAACAUCUUGAUUUCCAUGAAUGCCCGUUUGCCAUUGUAGAUACGAAACACUUGACACAGCGAAGAUACGAAGUUUUUUGUCAAUAACUUAACACUAGAUCGGAAUUAUCAUCAUCAGAUAAAAAUACCAAAGUGCUCAAUUAUUAAAGUGCGAGUUCUCGAUUAAACCGGCAAUUCAAAGUCAAUUCGACAAUUAAAAAAUGUCGAUUAUAAUUGUCGUAGAUAAUUGACAACACCGAUCUCUCGCUCCGAUUACAUUUCAACUCCUUAAGUCUGAACCUGAUAUCUGAAUCGAUGCUCCUCCUAUGUGCAUUUAUGGGUCAUUGCUCACCUG